rnacentral:rRNA from 1 species
UAGGGAAUCUUCGGCAAUGGGGGGAACCCUGACCGAGCAACGCCGCGUGAGUGAAGAAGGUUUUCGGAUCGUAAAGCUCUGUUGUUAAGGAAGAACGAGUGUGAGAAUGGAAAGUUCAUACUGUGACGGUACUUAACCAGAAAGGGACGGCUAACUACGUGCCAGCAGCCGCGGUAAUACGUAGGUCCCGAGCGUUGUCCGGAUUUAUUGGGCGUAAAGCGAGCGCAGGCGGUUAGAUAAGUCUGAAGUUAAAGGCAGUGGCUCAACCAUUGUAGGCUUUGGAAACUGUUUAACUUGAGUGCAGAAGGGGGGAGUGGAAUUCCAUGUGUAGCGGUGAAAUGCGUAGAUAUAUGGAGGAACACCGGUGGCGAAAGCGGCUCUCUGGUCUGUAACUGACGCUGAGGCGCGAAAGCGUGGGGAGCGAACAGG